CCUAUGUUGCCUCGGCGGGCCCCGCGCCCGCCGACGGCCCCCCUGAACGCUGUCUGAAGUUGCAGUCUGAGACCUAUACGAAAUUAGUUAAAACUUUCAACAACGGAUCUCUUGGUUCCGGCAUCGAUGAAGAACGCAGCGAAAUGCGAUAACUAAUGUGAAUUGCAGAAUUCAGUGAAUCAUCGAGUCUUUGAACGCACAUUGCGCCCUCUGGUAUUCCGGAGGGCAUGCCUGUCCGAGCGUCAUUGCUGCCCUCAAGCCCGGCUUGUGUGUUGGGCCCCGUCCCCCCCGCCGGGGGGACGGGCCCGAAAGGCAGCGGCGGCACCGCGUCCGGUCCUCGAGCGGUAUGGGGCUUCGUCACCCGCUCUAGUAGGCCCGGCCGGCGCCAGCCGACCCCCAACCUUUAAUUAUCUCAGGUUGACCUCGUUCAGGUAGGGAUACCCGCUGAACUUAAGCAUAUCAAUAAGCGGAGGA
rnacentral:rRNA from 1 species